CAGUAGCCGCGGGAACACGAAGGGGGCUAGCGUUGUUCGGAUUUACUGGGCGUAAAGCGCACGUAGGCGGACUUUUAAGUCAGGGGUGAAAUCCCGGGGCUCAACCCCGGAACUGCCUUUGAUACUGGAAGUCUUGAGUAUGGUAGAGGUGAGUGGAAUUCCGAGUGUAGAGGUGAAAUUCGUAGAUAUUCGGAGGAACACCAGUGGCGAAGGCGGCUCACUGGACCAUUACUGACGCUGAGGUGCGAAAGCGUGGGGAGCAAACAGGAUUAGAUACCCCAGUAGUCCCUGUCUCUUAUAC
rnacentral:rRNA from 1 species